AUCAUAAAACACGGGACGAGAUGUUAAAAACUGUCCAUUGUGCCAAUAGAUGGAAUGCACUCACAUGAGAUUUGCCGUGAUGUUGACAGAGUGGCAUGGGAGGUUUAUUUCUUAGACUGGGGUAAGAUGUCAAUUUCUGGGACACAUCCUCAGUAGUGUGCCUUCGAAUCAGUGGGUGUUUCGGCCUUUAAUCACUAAACACCCUCAUCAAAGGUGGCCAGCUAAAGGGUAAUCAAGCCUUAGCUUGUGUCCCAUGCCCAAUUAAGAUGUCCCACGGGACUAUGCAAGGCAGGGGCGUCCUCUUCCCUGAGCCAGCCAUACAGCUGACCGCAUACCUCAUAUGCCCUCCUCAAGUUGGAGGGAUCUGAAUUGGGUUCUCAGGUGGGGGUGGGGGGUCAUGAAGUUAUAGCCCAGCAAGGGUCCUUCCGUUUGAUCCAGAUCCACUGGCUGCUUCUUUCAGCUGCUUGAGAAACUGCUCUGACGGUCUGCCGCAGAGCCUGUCCAUGGAUUCCAAGUUCUUUCAGCAACCUGAUGAUGGAAGAAGCCACGAAUCCUCUGCAUCCCACUUCAACUGGCCAGACCUUUGCAUUCCAGCCACGCUGAGUUGCGUCUGCUGCCAACUCUGUGUAACG